GAUGAACGCUGGCGGCGUGCUUAAUACAUGCAAGUCGAGCGAACAGACGAGGAGCUUGCUCCUCUGACGUUAGCGGCGGACGGGAGAGUAACAUGUGGAUAACCUACCUAUAAGACUGGGAUAACUUCGGGAAACCGGAGCUAAUACCGGAUAAUAUAUUGAACCGCAUGGUUCAAUAGAGAAAGACGGCUUUGCUGUCACUUAUAGAUGGAUCCGCGCCGCAUUAGCUAGUUGGUAAGGUAAAGGCUUACCAAGGCGACGAUGCGUAGCCGACCUGAGAGGGUGAUCGGCCACACGAGAAGUGGAACACGGUCCAGACGCCUACGGGAGGCAGCAGUAGGGAAUCUGCCGCAGUGGGCGAGAGCCUUGCGGAGCAACGGGGCGUGAGUGGUGGAAGUCUUCGGAUCGUAAAACUGUGUUAUUAGGGAAGAACAAAUGUGUAAGUAACUGUACACGUCUUGACGGUACCUAGUCAGAAAGCCACGGCUAACUACGUG
rnacentral:rRNA from 1 species